UGUUCUGUGGCUUAGUUGGUUGAAGCGCCGGUCUAGCGAAUACGGAGUUGUGGGUUCGAAUCCCACCAGAACCC
rnacentral:tRNA from 1 species